GAGCCCAAGAUUGAAAGCUGGCGUCUUCGGCGUCCGCAUUGUAAUCUCAAGAAGUGUUUUCCGCUUCGGACCAAGCCUAAGUCCCCUGGAAAGGGGCAUCAUAGAGGGUGAUAAUCCCGUACAUGGCUUGGAGCGCCCGAGGCUUUGUGAUACGCUUUCUAAGAGUCGAGUUGUUUGGGAAUGCAGCUCAAAAUGGGUGGUAAAUGCCAUCUAAGGCUAAAUAUUGGGGAGAGACCGAUAGCGAACAAGUACAGUGAUGGAAAGAUGAAAAGAACUUUGAAAAGAGAGUUAAACAGUACGUGAAAUUGCCAAAAGGGAAGGGUAGGAGGUCAGAGAUGCGGCCUGGGAUUCAGCCUUGCUUUUGCUUGGUGUUUUUCCCAGAUUGCAGGCCAACGUCGGUUUUGGGCACUGGAGAAGGGUAGGAGGAACGUGGCACCCCUCGGGGUGUGUUAUAGCCUCCUACUGGAUACAGCGACCGAGACCGAGGACAGCAGCGUACUCGCAAGAGCGGGCCUUCGGGCACCUUUACGCUUAGGGCGUUGGCAUAAUGGCCCUCUACCACCCGUCUUGA
rnacentral:rRNA from 1 species